CGCCGGCGAGCUUCUGGUUGUAGAAGGUGUGCUUCACGACGGUGUCGGCGGUGUCGAAGAUGCCCUCGACGGUGCCGGUGCCGUCGCCGGCGAC
rnacentral:tRNA from 1 species